rnacentral:rRNA from 1 species
UGGGGAAUAUUGCACAAUGGGCGCAAGCCUGAUGCAGCCAUGCCGCGUGUAUGAAGAAGGCCUUCGGGUUGUAAAGUACUUUCAGCGGGGAGGAAGGCGAUAAGGUUAAUAACCUUGUCGAUUGACGUUACCCGCAGAAGAAGCACCGGCUAACUCCGUGCCAGCAGCCGCGGUAAUACGGAGGGUGCAAGCGUUAAUCGGAAUUACUGGGCGUAAAGCGCACGCAGGCGGUCUGUCAAGUCGGAUGUGAAAUCCCCGGGCUCAACCUGGGAACUGCAUUCGAAACUGGCAGGCUAGAGUCUUGUAGAGGGGGGUAGAAUUCCAGGUGUAGCGGUGAAAUGCGUAGAGAUCUGGAGGAAUACCGGUGGCGAAGGCGGCCCCCUGGACAAAGACUGACGCUCAGGUGCAAAAGCGUGGGGAGCAAACA